rnacentral:tRNA from 1 species
GCGCCCUUAGCUCAGUGGCAGAGCGCCCCCUUCACACGGGGGAGGCCGUAAGUUCAAUCCUUACAGGGCGCA